GUUAUAAGACAAGUCGGGAAAGUUUUUCGCUAAGGGAUCAGUCUAUGUUCCAUCAGCUUGUUGGUGAGGUAAUGGCUCACCAAGGCUAUGACGGAUAUCUGGUUUGAGAGGAUGAUCAGACACACUGGAACCGAGACACGGUCCAGACUCCUACGGGAGGCAGCAGUGAGGAAUAUUGCACAAUGGAGGAAACUCUGAUGCAGCAACGCCGCGUGGAGGAUGACGCAUUUCGGUGUGUAAACUCCUUUUAUUAGGGAAGAUAAUGACGGUACCUAAUGAAUAAGCACCGGCUAACUCCGUGCCAGCAGCCGCGGUAAUACGGAGGGUGCAAGCGUUACUCGGAAUCACUGGGCGUAAAGGGUGCGUAGGCUGGCUUUUAAGUCAGAUGUGAAAUCCAAUGGCUCAACCAUUGAACCGCAUUUGAAACUGAAAGCCUAGAGUUCAGAAGGGGCAGAUGGAAUUAGUGGUGUAGGGGUAAAAUCCGUAGAUAUCACUAGGAAUAUCAAAAGCGAAGGCGAUCUGCUGGGAUGAUACUGACG
rnacentral:rRNA from 1 species